rnacentral:lncRNA from 1 species
UGUCAGCUGAUGUUAUUGAGCCUGAAUCGCGUCUAGUUCUUGCAAGGAACGUUUACCUCUAGGCGCAAAAAAUGUAAAUAAUCAUCGCACGAAGAUUUGAAACAUAAUUUCUGUGUAAAAAUUUGUUGCUGAAUUGCAAUUUAAAGCAAAGCAGGGUUUGCACCUGGAUUGUGCAUCAUCGUCGUAUAGUGUUAGAAUUUUAAAUGCCAACAAAAUCAUCUUUUUGUGUGCGCCGAAGUGUAUCAUCAAACUUAUCGAAUUGGUGAUAAAAAAUUGAAGCGGAAAACUAAAUUCCAAAACAACCAAGAGUGGGGAUCCCCGUGUUACGAAACGAAGUUACGUGCUGCAAAAAUAUCAUUCUCCGAUAAUUAAAAGCAAGCAAGCUAACGCAGGAAACGAGGAAGCAGAAAUCACAAAAUUGAAUGGAAGUUUAUGUGUGCAGAAUUUAAAGCAGUUUUUCUAUGAAUCGUCGAUUGUGAAGUGAAGUGAUACACCUUUGCAGUUGAAUGGUGAAGCAGAAGGCAAUAUAAUUAAUUAAACUUCAGUUUGAAGAGCUCUGCGUUCCCCCACUUCGAUUUUGUCGCGUUGUUCUGGGUUCGAAGAGUUUUGCGGAUAUUUUCCACCACCACCCGGCUCGUCCUGCUUAUUAGAGUUAUUGGAUUUUACUGCAGGACCGGGAAAAGUGCUGCCUCUCAGUCAUCAUCCACAGAGCACAGCCAUCGACAAAUCGGAUCAGCGAAUUGGAAUGUCAUUGAAGAAAGAAACCCUAUCAGAUGUACAGCUGCACUUGGCUGCAUUACGCGGAGACGAAAUGUUGCUGAAACGUGUUUUGGAUAGCGGCAAGGUGCACGUGGACUGCCGUGACGAGGUAGGUGUACAAUUGCGGUGGUUUUGGUGGUGCUAAUCAGGAUCAAAUAAUAACGUGUCUGACUAUGUGUGAGGUGCGAAUAUGCUGGGGGAAUAUAAAUGAAGGAAUUGGAUGGAUUGUUUGGCAGGUGGCACAUUUAUAGUGCACCCAAUUGAAUACCUUUUCCGGAGGGGUUGCAGAUCAGCGCAAAUUAAUCUGGCAUGUGCUUAAUUUGGAAGGUAGUUUUCAUGAGUGUUAUUAUAAUGAAUAGAGAAGAUUGGUGAUCGAUCUAUUUUACACUUAUUCAAAUUUUGAUAAUUAAGAAUUUUGGGUAGUACUUGCACGACACUAAAAAUCAAAACCUUAUUUAACAUGCUUCACCAACGGAGGCAGGACGUUUUACAUUAUUUCAUGGGUGGAAAUUUCGUAUAACGGACGUUUGGCAUAAACCCAGAUAGCCGUAGCGGUAAA